UACGAGGGGUGCAAACGUUAUUCGGAAUCACUGGGCGUAAAGGGUGCGUAGGCGGCAAGAUAAGUCAAUUAUUAAAUCUCUUAGCUUAACUAAGAAUCUGUGAUUGAAACUGACUUGCUUGAGGAUGGAAGAGAGAAGUGGAAUUCUCGGAGUAGCGGUAAAAUGCGUAGAUCUCGAGAGGAACACCGAUGGCGAAGGCAGCUUCUUGGUCCAUAUCUGACGCUGAAGUACGAAAGCGUGGGGAGCAAAC
rnacentral:rRNA from 1 species